AUUGAACGCUGGCGGCAGGCUUAACACAUGCAAGUCGAGCGGAGAUGAGGUGCUUGCACCUUAUCUUAGCGGCGGACGGGUGAGUAAUGCUUAGGAAUCCGCCUAUUAGUGGGGGACAACAUUCCGAAAGGAAUGCUAAUACCGCAUACGCCCUACGGGGGAAAGCAGGGGAUCUUCGGACCUUGCGCUAAUAGAUGAGCCUAAGUCGGAUUAGCUAGUUGGUGGGGUAAAGGCCUACCAAGGCGACGAUCUGUAGCGGGUCUGAGAGGAUGAUCCGCCACACUGGGACUGAGACACGGCCCAGACUCCUACGGGAGGCAGCAGUGGGGAAUAUUGGACAAUGGGCGGAAGCCUGAUCCAGCCAUGCCGCGUGUGUGAAGAAGGCCUUUUGGUUGUAAAGCACUUUAAGCGAGGAGGAGGCUACCUGGAUUAAUACUCUAGGAUAGUGGACGUUACUCGCAGAAUAAGCACCGGCUAACUCUGUGCCAGCCGCCACGGUAACAC
rnacentral:rRNA from 1 species